ACGAAGGGCUGGAGUAGGAGUCUCUCGAUGGAGGAGUUGACAGGCCGUAUUUUGGGUUUCAAGGACGUGGAGAAGCCCGAGCGUAUUGGUAGGAGUGCUUGGGAUAAUUACUGGCUUAGCGAAGAGCAGGUCCGGUAUGCAAGCGUCGACGCUUACCUGUCUUUCUCAAUGGGAAAGGCUUUGAAUGUGUGGAAAUGGCCUGAUUUGAUGAGUUUUUGAUGGAAUGUUUUGAACAGAGCAGUUCAAACUAAAGAUUGUUAGAACUAUUUAAUCUUGGAGAGGGAACCGACAAGGUAGUGGUGUGCAUCUCGGGCUUUGAUGCACUCUGAGUCAUGUAUCAUACUCAAUAUAAUAAGUUUCAUUUUCUUGUGUUAAAACUAUCUUUUAGAAAUAUUACAGUUGUGAUCUGUCAGAAUUUGUGAUAGUUUUAGGUUUAUUGACGCUGUGCUAUGGUGCUUGUAAAAUGAUAGAAACUUUAUUUUGGAUGGA